rnacentral:rRNA from 1 species
UGGGAGGUAAAUUUCUCCUAAGGCUAAAUAUNGGCGAGAGACCGAUAGCGAACAAGUACCGUGAGGGAAAGAUGAAAAGUACUUUGAAAAGAGAGUUAAAUAGCACGUGAAAUUGUUGAAAGGGAAACGAUUGAAGCCAGUCGUACCGGCGGAUAAUCAGCCUUUCGGGUGCGAUUCUGUGGGGCGUGAGGAGCUUAACCGCCUUCAUGUUUUGCAUAUUCGUGCACAUUUGGUGUACUUGUCCGUGUGGUGGGUUAACAUCAAUUUCGGUCGUCAUAAAAUGACUGGAGGAAUGUAGCUUUGGUCUCGUAUCGAAGUGUUAUAGACUCUGGUAGAUGUGACGAUUGGGAUUGAGGAUUGCAACGGAUACCCCUUCGGGGGCUACCCGUCUGAUCUCUGAAGGUUGCUCCGGUGCCGAAAGCGUGCUUACGGUCAUCGAAAGUGAUUUUCAAAAGGUUAGAACGGGUUAAAUUCGUUAAGGAUGUUGACGUAAUGGCUUUAAACGACCCGUCUUGAAACACGGACCAAGGAGUCUAACAUAUAUGCGAGUGUUUGGGUGAUUAAACCCUUACGCGUAAUGAAAGUAAUUUUGGUGGGAUCACUUGUGUGCACCAUCGACC